AGAAAUGUAAGACUUGAAUUUGGUCCAAUCAAUAAAAAAUUAUACCCUACACUAUAUGCACCAAUGUGGCCAUGCACUAUAUGAAUGAGUAUAUUUUUCUGUAGGCUAAUCACCAUGAUAAGUGCAUCCUGAAUGGGAUCCGUUGGAAGCAGACAAUGAUUGGUGCAUUGCAUGCCACGUGAAGUGCACAAUGUAGGAUAUAAUUUCUCUCAAUCAACACCUAGAUAUGAGGCUAGAUUUCCAAACUCCACUUGUUACUCCGAAUUGUGUUAGGUAUGAAAAUGAAAUUUGUGAGACCAAUAAAAAGCAAGUGCCAUCUGUGUUGCAACUUUCUCCUAAAUUUUUGAAUGUAGACAUGCGCCGC
rnacentral:lncRNA from 1 species